CACUCCGGCCAUGCCACCUUGAACAUUCCCAAUCUUGUCUGAUCUCAGAAGCUAAGCAGGGUUGGGCCUGGUUAGUACCUGGAUGGGAGACCACUUAGGAAUACCAGGUGCUGUAGGCG
rnacentral:rRNA from 1 species